CGUCCCCGAGAGCCCAACCACCCCUCCCCCAAUCCCCAUGCCGCUCGCCACGCUGCUCGCGCACCUCGCAGCGGGCCGCUUCGACCGCGUUGAGGCGCUCGCGGGCGCGUCCACCGCUGGAGCCGCGCACCGCGUCCUAUUCCUCCUCCUCAGCACCGCGCCGCUCCCUCCGCUGCCCCACCUCGUCUCCCUCGCGCGCUGGUCGCGCGCCCGCUUCCGCGCGCCGCUGCCGCUCCGGCUCCACGCGCUCCUCCUGGCCCGCCUCGCCUCCCACGGGGGGCUCCACCCGCUCCUCCGCUCCGAGCUCCACGCCCUAGCCGCCGCGCGCCUCCACUCCCCGGCCUCCGUCCUCCGCGCCCUUCCCUCCUCGUCCCCUUCCGCGCCGCUCGUCGCCGACAUGCUCGUCCUCGCGCUCGCCAGGGCCUCCCAGCCUCUCGCGGCCUACGAGGCCUUCCUCCUCGCGGGCGCCGACCACCCGCGCCACCGCCCCUCGGCCUUCUCCGUGAACGCCCUGCUCGCCGCCCUCGUCGGCGCCGACCGGGUCGACCUCGCCGAGAGGGCCUUCAGGGUGGCGCUGCGGCGGCGCGUGUCGCCGGACCUGUUCACCUUCAACACCGUUAUCUCUGGCCUCUGCAAGGCCGGGCAGCUCCGCAAGGCCGGCGAUGUCGCCAAGGACAUCAGGGCGUGGGGGCUGGCUCCCUCGGUGGUCACGUACAAUACUCUCAUCGGCGGGUACUGCAAGAGGGGCCGAGCUGGGAAGAUGUACCAUGUCGAUGUGCUCUUGAAGGAGAUGGUCGAAACCGGGAUCUCCCCGAAUGUGGUGACAUUCAAUGUGCUGAUUAAUGGGUAUUGCAAGGAGCCGAACAUUACGGCUGCGGUGAGGGUCUUUGAGGAGAUGAAGCAGCAGGGGAUUGCUGCGAAUGUGGUGACAUACAAUUCACUAGUUUCGGGGCUCUGUGGCGAGGGGAAGGUGGAGGAAGGGGUGAAGCUGGUGGAGGAGAUGGAGGAGUUGGGUCUGGCAUGCAAUGUGUCCACCCUGAACAAUGUGCUGAAUGGGUUUUGCAAGAAGGGUAUGAUGGUGGAUGCCGAGGAUUGGAUUGAUGGUAUGGCACGGAGGGAUGUGAAACCUGAUGUAGUUACUUACAGUAUCUUGGUCGAUGGAUAUCGCCGUCUUGGAAAGAUGAAGGAGGCUGUGGCGGUGAAGGAGGCAAUGGCAGGAAAAGGGAUUAGUCCAAAUGUUAAAACAUAUAAUUGCUUGAUAACAGGGUUUAGCAGUAGUGGGGAUUGGCGGAGUGUUUCUGUCCUUCUCGAUGAGAUGAGGGAGAAAGGUGUGAAAGCAGAUCUUGUCACUUAUGAUGUACUCAUCGGUGCUCUGUGUUGCAAAGGUGAGAUCCGGAAAGCAGUAAAGCUCUUGGAUGAGAUGUUGGAGGUUGGUUUGGAGCCAAAGCAUCUGGCCUACAAUACCAUAAUAAAUGGGUUUUGUGAGAAGGGGGACAUUAGGUCUGCCCAUGAAAUUAGGGGUAGGAUGGAGAAAGGUAAGAAACGGGCGAAUGUAGUCACUUACAAUGUGUUGCUCAAGUACUUCUGCAGAAUGGGGAAGAUGGAGGAGGCUAAUGAGCUCCUGAAUGAGAUGUUGGAGAAAGGUCUAGUUCCAAAUGGGGUCACUUAUGAAAUAAUCAAUGCGGGCAUGAUAGAAAAAGGUUUCAUACCUGAUAUAAGAGGUUAUGCAACGGAUGCUUCUAAAAACUUGACAUCUUCCUGAAAGACAGAACGCUAAGGACUUGAGGACUGGACGCAAACAUUUGUCCAACUUCAUCUUACGACCUAUAUGGAUCUGAGGAUGCUAGCCCGGGGGCACAAAUAAUCUGAUGAAAUUAUUCACUUGCCCUGGGUAGAAGAUUGGCCAUGUUGUGGGCACUGGAAUGAAGGCAUUUUAAAAGCCAUCUGGCAUUUCUUUUCACUGGAUACCGCACAGCUGUUUGUUUAGUCGGUUUCCAUAAAACAUAUAUGAGCCACCUGCGUGACUCUUUACAAGAUGCAUGGUCCAUGAGGUCGUUGCUCAACACACAUGUUUAGUCGGUUUCCAUAAAACAUAUAUGAGCCACCUGCGUGACUCUUACAAGAUGCAUGGUCCAUGAGGUCGUUGCUCAACACACAUAUCAUGAUGCUAGUAGCCAACUCCGAUGGUAGUUGCGAUCAAAUGUCACAUCAUUCCGCAUUUGAAGUAAUAAUCUUCAUGAGAAAUGGAGCUUUUGGUAUUUCCUUUGGGAAAAACUGCCGCUGGUAUAUCCGUCUUGUAAAUAGCUCCAUCCCAGCAACACUGCACCUUGAUGUGGUUUCGUUUGUCUGCUCUAGUCAGUAGUAACCCUUUGUGGCUUGGCUUAUGUAUUUAACUAUUUGUGCCAUUGUUCUCAACUGACAAGUAUUGUGGUUUCGUUUGUGUCU